AGGUGGCGAGAGGGGCGACCUUACUUGGACUGUAACUGACGGUGAGUCCACGAAAGCCGUGGGUAGCAAACAGGAUUAGAUACCCUGGUAGUCACGCUGUAAACCGAUGAGUGCUAGGUGUUGGGUAGCGAUAUUCAGUGCCGAAGUUAACACAAUAAGCACUCCGCCUGGGGAGUACGGUCGCAAGACUGAAACUCAAAGGAAUUGACGGGGACCCGCACAAGCAGCGGAGCAUGUGGUUUAAUUCGAAGCAACGCGAAGAACCUUACCAAGGCUUGACAUCCCCUUGACCAGUGCAGAGAUGUACUCUCUCCUUCGGGAGCAAGGGUGACAGGUGGUGCAUGGUUGUCGUCAGCUCGUGUCGUGAGAUGUUGGGUUAAGUCCCGCAACGAGCGCAACCCUUAUCAUUAGUUGCCAGCAGGUUAAGCUGGGCACUCUAAUGAGACUGCCGAUGAUAAAUCGGAGGAAGGUGGGGAUGACGUCAAAUCAUCAUGCCCCUUAUGUCUUGGGCUACACACGUGCUACAAUGGUCGGUACAACGGGCAGCGAAAGAGUGAUCUGGAGCAAAUCCCAAUAAACCGAUCUCAGUUCGGAUUGUAGGCUGCAACUCGCCUACAUGAAGUCGGAGUUGCUAGUAAUCGCGAAUCAGAACGUCGCGGUGAAUGCGUUCCCGGGUCUUGUACACACCGCCCGUCACACCAUGGAAGUUGGUAAUACCCAAAGUCGCUGGGCUAACCGUAAGGGGGCAGGCGCCUAAGGUAGGAUCAAUGACUGGGGUGAAGUCGUAACAAGGUAGCCGUAUCGGAAGGUGCGGCUGGAUCACCUCCUU
rnacentral:rRNA from 1 species